UGGGGAAUAUUGCACAAUGGGCGCAAGCCUGAUGCAGCCAUGCCGCGUGUAUGAAGAAGGCCUUCGGGUUGUAAAGUACUUUCAGCGGGGAGGAAGGUGUUGUGGUUAAUAACCACAGCAAUUGACGUUACCCGCAGAAGAAGAACCGGCUAACUCCGUGCCAGCAGCCGCGGUAAUACGGAGGGUGAAAGCGUUAAUCGGAAUUACUGGGCGUAAAGCGCACGCAGGCGGUCUGUCAAGUCGGAUGUGAAAUCCCCGGGCUCAACCUGGGAACUGCAUCCGAAACUGGCAGGCUUGAGUCUUGUAGAGGGGGGUAGAAUUCCAGGUGUAGCGGUGAAAUGCGUAGAGAUCUGGAGGAAUACCGGUGGCGAAGGCGGCCCCCUGGACAAAGACUGACGCUCAGGUGCGAAAGCGUGGGGAGCAAACA
rnacentral:rRNA from 1 species